GAAGGAUGCAAAGUUAAAAAAUGAUGGAAUAUUGAAACAGGUGCUAACAGCAAGUGGAUCUUGUCGCCUUUGGGGGCUGUCAUGUGCCCCUCAAAGUGAAUUGGAAGGUUCUACACUC
rnacentral:snoRNA from 1 species